rnacentral:rRNA from 1 species
AUUGAACGCUGGCGGCAGGCCUAACACAUGCAAGUCGAGCGGAUGAAGGGAGCUUGCUCCUGGAUUCAGCGGCGGACGGGUGAGUAAUGCCUAGGAAUCUGCCUGGUAGUGGGGGAUAACGUCCGGAAACGGGCGCUAAUACCGCAUACAUCCUGAGGGAGAAAGUGGGGGAUCUUCGGACCUCACGCUAUCGGAUGAGCCUAGGUCGGAUUAGCUAGUUGGUGGGGUAAAGGCCUACCAAGGCGACGAUCCGUAACUGGUCUGAGAGGAUGAUCAGUCACACUGGAACUGAGACACGGUCCAGACUCCUACGGGAGGCAGCAGUGGGGAAUAUUGGACAAUGGGCGAAAGCCUGAUCCAGCCAUGCCGCGUGUGUGAAGAAGGUCUUCGGAUUGUAAAGCACUUUAAGUUGGGAGGAAGGGCAGUAAGUUAAUACCUUGCUGUUUUGACGUUACCAACAGAAUAAGCACCGGCUAACUUCGUG